GCGCGCCGGGGGGGGGGAUGGGCGGGCCUUCGGGUUGUAAACCUCUUUCAGUUGGGAAGAAGCGAAAGUGACGGUACCUGCAGAAGAAGCACCGGCUAACUACGUGCCAGCAGCCGCGGGUAAUACGUAGGGUGCGAGCGUUAUCCGGAAUUAUUGGGGGUAAAGAAGUUGUAGGCGGUUUGUCGCGUCUGUCGUGAAAGUCCGGGGCUUAACCCGGGAUCUGCGGUGGGUACGGGCAGAUUAGAGUGCAGUAGGGGAGACUGGAAUUCCUGGUGUAGCGGUGGAAUGGGCAGAUAUCAGGAGGAACACCGAGGGCGAAGGCAGGUCUCUGGGCUGUAACUGACGUUGAGGAGCGAAAGCAUGGGGAGCGAACAGGAUUAGAUACCCUGGUAGUCCAUGCCGUAAACGUUGGGCACUAGGUGUGGGGACCAUUCCACGGUUUCCGCGCCGCAGCUAACGCAUUAAGUGCCCCGCCUGGGGAGUACGGCCGCAAGGCUAAAACUCAAAGGAAUUGACGGGGGCCCGCACAAGCGGCGGAGCAUGCGGAUUAAUUCGAUGCAACGCGAAGAACCUUACCAAGGCUUGACAUGUUCUCGAUCGCCGUAGAGAUACGGUUUCCCCUUUGGGGCGGGUUCACAGGUGGUGCAUGGUUGUCGUCAGCUCGUGUCGUGAGAUGUUGGGUUAAGUCCCGCAACGAGCGCAACCCUCGUUCCAUGUUGCCAGCACGUAGUGGUGGGGACUCAUGGGAGACUGCCGGGGUCAACUCGGAGGAAGGUGAGGACGACGUCAAAUCAUCAUGCCCCUUAUGUCUUGGGCUUCACGCAUGCUACAAUGGCCGGUACAAUGGGUUGCGAUACUGUGAGGUGGAGCUAAUCCCAAAAAGCCGGUCUCAGUUCGGAUUGGGGUCUGCAACUCGACCCCAUGAAGUCGGAGUCGCUAGUAAUCGCAGAUCAGCAACGCUGCGGUGAAUACGUUCCCGGGCCUUGUACACACCGCCCGUCAAGUCACGAAAGUCGGUAACACCCGAAGCCGGUGGCCUAACCCUUGUGGGGGGAGCCGUCGAAGGUGG
rnacentral:rRNA from 1 species